UUUAUCAUCUAUCACAGGUUCUUAUAUGAAUAUUCAUACAGUUUAUGCUUCGGCUGAUUAUAGAACUAAUUUAACAAGCGAAAAUCAGUUUUAUAACGAAUUCGUUGAUUAAGCACCAGCGUGUUCGACUAACGAUGGCGAUGAUCAAGCGUCACCAAUAACACAGUUAAAAAUCAUAACAAUAAUUCGGCAGCCCUAUUUUGCAAGCGAAAAUAAUAUAACAAUUUCCUAUUCAGGUUAAUUUGAACAAGCGUGAAUUAAUUUGAAUAGUCUCAAUGUUAUGAACGUGAAACAAAAUAAUUAAGCAUCAAUUGCAUCAACUCAUACACAAAAGAGAG
rnacentral:lncRNA from 1 species